GGUGAGUAAUACCUAGGAAUCUGCCUGGUAGUGGGGGGUAACGUUCGGAAAAAAACGCUAAUGCCGCAUACGUCCUACGGGAGAAAGCAGGGGACCUUCGGGCCUUGCGCUAUCAGAUGAGCCUAGGUCGGAUUAGCUAGUUGGUGAGGUAAUGGCUCACCAAGGCGACGAUCCGUAACUGGUCUGAGAGGAUAAUCAGUCACACUGGUUUUGAGGAAAGGUCCAGACUCCUACGGGAGGCAGCAGUGGGGAAUAUUGGACAAUGGGCGAAAGCCUGAUCCAUCCAAGGCGCGUGUGUGAAGAAGGUCUUCGGA
rnacentral:rRNA from 1 species